AGAGUCAGCAAUCCGUUCGUACCCAAAUUAGUACACCAUAGGGUAGACAUGGAUAAAACGGCUUUUGUGGCAAACACUUCAUACCUAAAUACUUUAAAACCACCAGAAGUGAGCAGAUUCAUCAUCAUUACGUUUUGAAAGCGAUGCGGAUACAUAAAUCAAGUGAUUUAACUAUAGUGAAGUUCCACGAAGCUGGGACUUUUAACAUCAGUGAAGUAAAAGAUUGAAUGGUGCGAAUUAUUUGAAAUGAAUAACCAAUAGAUUCUCAACAUCAAUGUGACAAUAUGAGGCACCAUGCAUGAUUUCAUAAGAAUUACAGUGAUAGAAUUUAAACAAUCUAUACAAUAAGACUGAAUGUUUUACCAUGGUGAAUGGUGUUUUGGAUCAACGUAGUAGUGCAAAAUCCUUGGCAAACGCGAUAUUCAACAAAAAGUGAAGCCAGCCAAUUGUGACAAUUGGUCAAGCGUGCUCCAGUGGCACAUCCGAGAAACAUUCAUGAUGAAAAGUUUGACUGGCUGAAGCGGGAGUAGAACCCUCACCCCUUGACAUGAUGUGCUAUUUCUUGUUGUUCUAUGUUCUAUUUCUAUUAUUUUACGAACCAAGAUGAACCAUUAAAUCUACAGCAGUUUCUCAAUAUUUUCCAUUUCCUAUUCGUAUCAUGACCAAAGGUCGCAUGAGUGCGAAAGUUUUAUAUAAAAGUUCUUCAAUCAAUUCGUCAUCAUAUGACCAAAGGUCGUAUGAGUGCAAAACUCAAGACUACCAGCACUGAUAUUUAGUUAAAGUUCUAUUUCUAUUAUUUUUGUUGAAAUAUCAAACCACUGCAGUUUCUCUAUAUAUUUCUAUUUACAAUUCGUUUCAAACAGAACAACAACCACUAAAAUUUCUCUAUUUAUUUCUAUUUACAAUUCGUAUUCAAAAAGUCAAGCACAAAACAAGAACCAACACUGUAAGUUCUAUUUCUAUUAUUUUUACGAAACAAGAUGAAACAUUCAAUCCACGGUAAUUUCUCAAUAUUUUCUAUUUCCUAUUCGUAUCAGAAAAAGCCAAUCACUUGAGUUUCUCAAUAUUUUCUAUUUUCUAUUCGUAUGCGGUAAUCAGUAAUACCAACUCGACUGUAAUUUCUUUCAAAUUCUAUUUCAUUUUUUUUUGAAAGCAGAAUCGAGAUCCAACCUUUCUGUAAUUUCUUUCAAAUUCUAUUUCAAUUUUUUUGAGUUGUCUUUAAUUUUUAAUUGUUGAUGGUUUAUUUAUAUCAGCUAUAUCUCACAAAAUUGUUCACUCUUUGACAGUCACACGCAAUUGCGAUAAAAGAAAAAACUAUUCUAGCAAAAUGAGACAUACGACUUACAAUUUGCAAAAUUGAUUGAGUUCAAAAGUUCUGCUUAGCAGUCGUCAUCAUAUGACCAAAGGUCGCAUGAGUGCAAAAAUCAAGACAACCAGCACUGUUAUUUCUUUUUAAGUUCUAUUUCUAUUAUUUUUGCAAAAUUAAAUGAACCCAACCACUCAAAUUUCUUUCAAAUUCUAUUUCAAUUUUUUUUUGCUAAAGCGAUUUAAUAACGAAGGCUUUCUUAGCGUGAUAUUAUCACUACGGAAUAUUAUUUUAAAGCAAUUAUUCUAGAAUUUUAAAAGCAAUGAUUUUAGAAGUCGUCAUCAUAUGACCAAAGGUCGCAUGAGUGCCAAAACAAUUUGAAUCACCACUGUAGUUUCUUUUUAAGUUCUAUUUCUAUUAUGUUUGCGUAAAGGUGAAAGUUUUUCACCAAAGUCGUCAUCAUAUGACCAAAGGUCGCAUGAGUGCGAAAUAACUUAAACGUAUCGAACCAAACCACUGAAAUUUCUUUCAAAUUCUAUUUCAAUUUUUUUUACAAAGAUAAUCUAUCACAGAAUUUCUCGGAUCGUGAUAUUAUUACUACGGAAUAGGUAUUUGUCACUAUGAAAUGUGGCAGAUAAAAAACUCUGUCUGUUCCGGGGUUUUCAAUUUCAGUUUCCAUAAGCUUCCGA
rnacentral:lncRNA from 1 species